GAGAAAACAGAUUGGGGGGAUAAGAGGCUAUUGGUGUUUAUUCCCCCUCCGCUCCCCUGCGCCGCUCCCUCUCCUUCGACCAUGGGCAGCAGCAGUCAGAGAACCAGGGGCAGCUGGUUUCGACGGGAAGCUACGUACUUAUAUGCCCCCACCAAUUUCAACGGAGAAAUAUGACCAGCGACAACUACUAAUGUCAGGUGGAUCCAAGGUUAUAUGAUUUGUACAUGGCGGUGUUCCUGAACAGAAGGAGGUAAUUUCUUCGCUCUUUCUAUUGAUUAAUAUUGUUCUUCACUCUUUCUGAACUAUUGAAUUUAUUAAUAUUAUUCUUGCACAAAUUAAUUAAUGAUUAUAUCAUCUUUUGGUCACUUGAGUAAGAUAGAACAUGAUGAUCCUCUCUUAAUUUGGUUUCUCCUCCGCUAAAGAAUAUAGGAAUCACCAGCAGCCCUU